rnacentral:rRNA from 1 species
CCUACGGGGGGCAGCAGUGGGGAAUAUUGGACAAUGGGGGCAACCCUGAUCCAGCCAUGCCGCGUGUGUGAAGAAGGCCCUCGGGUUGUAAAGCACUUUCAGUGAGGAAGAACGCCUGGUGGUUAAUACCCAUCAGGAAAGACAUCACUCACAGAAGAAGCACCGGCUAACUCCGUGCCAGCAGCCGCGGUAAUACGGAGGGUGCGAGCGUUAAUCGGAAUUACUGGGCGUAAAGCGCGCGUAGGUGGCUUGAUAAGCCGGUUGUGAAAGCCCCGGGCUCAACCUGGGAACGGCAUCCGGAACUGUCAAGCUAGAGUGCAGGAGAGGAAGGUAGAAUUCCCGGUGUAGCGGUGAAAUGCGUAGAGAUCGGGAGGAAUACCAGUGGCGAAGGCGGCCUUCUGGACUGACACUGACACUGAGGUGUGAAAGCGUGGGUAGCAAACAGGAUUAGAUAACCCGGUAGUC